GCUGGCAGGACCACAACCAACGCAAACUGACAUGCUCCAGGCAUCUCUGGGCGAGUACCUCUUUGAGUGCCUCACUCUCAAGCAUGACUAGGAGGCCUCUACGCCUUCC
rnacentral:miRNA from 14 species